rnacentral:rRNA from 1 species
UCUAAUACCGGAUAACACUCCUGCCCGCAUGGGCGGGGGUUGAAAGCUCCGGCGGUGAAGGAUGAGCCCGCGGCCUAUCAGCUUGUUGGUGGGGUAAUGGCCUACCAAGGCGACGACGGG